rnacentral:tRNA from 1 species
AAAAAAAAUGGGCCCUUUUAACUCAGUGGUAGAGUAACGCCAUGGUAAGGCGUAAGUCAUCGGUUCAAAUCCGA